AUAGUCCGGCAGAGAGCGGCCAGCGUUCACCGGAAGAAGACAUUGAGCGUCUAUCACUCCUUCUGUCAGCCCGAGCGAGUUGCAUGGUUUGACUGGAUUGGACUGCCAACGUUCUCGCCUCAACCCUUCCUUCACUCCACCCACACACCCGGUCUAGGGUGUAUUCCAGCGCUCCUGCCGACGAACUUUGUGUGGGAGAAGUACCUUCUUCCAUCAAUUGUAUUCUACGCGUCAAGACAACAUGACCUUCGUUUGUUUGUCAAGGAAUGAGGAAUAUCUCUUGAAGCUGUACAGCUGGCAGACGAUUUGGCUUCCGAUUGUAACGCAUAUCCGAAGACGUCCCACUCCAUGUCAAGUAACAAAAAGAUGCAGAAGCUGCACCUUUCAUCCUACCUCCACUGAAGUGUCUCAACUGCAGCGAAGGAGGACACCUCCGGCCCCAGUGUCCUAAAAAUCCUUGCCCUUUUAAAAGGGACAGUACUUCAAUACUCACGGUGGGUUUGUUUGGGAGAUAAGGAAGUGUCCAAGUCUACCUACUGUGUUGUAAACGGUUCUUGGACCUCCACCAUUCUCAGCGACACUGGCUGUUCCAGUCUUCUAGUCUCCGAGGAAGCCCUACCUGACAUAGACACCACCAAUUGCAGACAGGUAACCGUUUAUGACUACCUAGGCCGCGCUGACCAGUUCCCUGUAGUUAAAUGUUACUUGAAGUGUCCUUACUAUGAUGGUUGGGCAAAUGUUGUUCGAGCCCCAAUCUAGUUUGCAACAGUUCUGCUUGGUGACAUUACGGGAACCCGUAAACCUGACGAUCCUGCCUACCCUUUCCCUGCUCACGUGACUCCGUCUCCCACUCACAAGGGAAUGGUGCUGCAGCUGCCCCGACUCGACCUGACGUCGUGUUGCAACCCAUGGCCGAGUGUGUAGGUGCUGUACAAACUUGUGCUGGCUCUGGAGGCAUGGAACACCUUCACCCUCUUGUUCUUCCCAGCUUGGAACCUCUUAAGUGACUAUCGGAUUUUCCUCAUUUACAGGAAACGUGUCCCUCACUAGCUACUGUCCUACUAUAUCGUGAGUGUUUCCUCUACACAUCCAAAAGAGCUUGGGAAACGCGUGCUGGCUGUCCCUUCCGACUGUUGAGGUGUUGUACUCCAGGUGGCCCAUGAGUCCCCUUGCCGGUCAUUUCUCUCGCAGGAAAACUGAGGGUAAGAUAAGUGAACACUUCUUCUAGUCUGCCAUGGCCUCAGACAUCCGAGACUACUGCCGCUCCUACGACAUCUGCCAACGUAAGUCAUCAAGGGGGUGGGUCAAGCCUGUUCCUCUCCAACCCUUGCCUGUGGUGACAGACCUUUUCUUGGGUGGCGGUGGAUGUCAUUGGGCCACUUUCACCUUCUUCCGAAGGCCACAAGUACAUACUGACUCUUAUCGACUUUGGCCACAGGAUUUCCUGAAGUGAUUCCUCUGAAGGACGUGGAUUCCAUCUCUGUUGCUGAGGCACUAUUCUCCAUCUUCUCCAGAGUUGGAAUUCCUCUUGAGAUCCUCAGCGAUAGAGGAACUCGGUUCAUACAGCAACUGAUGGUCCAGCUCCACAAACUUAUUGACAUGAAGCCACAGUCACUAUCCCGUACCAUCACGCUGGGAACGGACGGGUAGAAAGGUUGCAUCGUCCCCUCAAAGCCGUCCUUCAGAAGCUUUGCCAUGAAAAACCCUGAGAGUGGCAUUGGUACCUUACUCCUGCGCUUUUCGCUCUCCAGAAACUACCUAGUGAUCGUACCGGCUUCUCUGCCUUCGACCUCCUCUAUGCCCAGGUUGUGUGGGGACCCCUUUCGGUUUUAAAGGAUUUGUGGGAGGACAAGCUUUUGGAGGAGAACGACCGGACCAGUCUACAGUACGUCAUCGAGCUGCGGGAUAAACUUCAAGACUGUGCUCAGCUCGCUGCCCAAGAAGCUGAUAUGUUUCUUCAGUAACGCCUGGCUGCACCGCCGCUCUCCAGCACGACAUCGUCUUAACCUGCGCCAGUAGGAUUUAAGAGAAACUUGCCCUGUGCUGAUUCACCUUCGCCCUUUCUUCGAGCGUGAAGUUGAUGAACUCCUCCAGCUGGGUGUCAUCCAACCAUCUUGCUCACCACACUGUUCUCCGGUAGUGAUGAGGAUUGAUGGAAUCCUGUCGUCUCCCCUUCUGUCUCGUCACUGCGUGUUCUGCCUGAGGAGGAUUGUCUUGGCUAACCUCCAAGUGUGACUUUCUACUUCGACAAUGUCUUCAUCUACUCUACAGAUUGGCCCAGCUACCUCGCCGCUAUAACCUCUGUUCUGGAGCGACUCCACUUGCACAAGCUCACUGCUAAACCCACCAAGUGUCUUCGGGUUCUCUUCUCUCCAGUACUUGGGGUUCCAUCUUGACGGAGUAUACCUACGUCCCCAGGAAGACAAGUCUAAGGCCCUCGUGCAGGUGUGAUGCUUCCAACUACGGACUGGGGGCUGUCCUUUUACAGUAUGACAACGGGACCCCUCAUCCAGUGUCCUAUGCCAGUUGUAAACUGCUCGACCGUGAACGGAUGUAUGCGACUACGGAGAAGGAAGCCCUUGCCAUCGUAUUUGGAGUGAAUUAGUUUUGACUACUAUCUCAAAGGGAAGGAGUUCCUGCUGGAGACAGACAACAAGCCCGUCGUGUAUCUUCAGUCUUCAAAGUGCUCCAAUGGCCGACUAAUGUGGGCUCUAGAACUACAAAAUUAUCCAUAUCGGGUAUUUCACAUUGCUGGACGCGACAACGUGGGAGCUGAUCUGCUGAUUCACUGUCCCACGGAGUAAACUCUUGUUCUCCACUUCAUGCAUUUUUGGGUACUGGGAAUUUCGGAUUUAAUUUACUUGCAGUAGAUUUUAAAAAGGGGGAUAUGUAAGGGCUGAAAUACCUAACUACCCUUGUUAUGUCUAAAACACAUUAUUGUACAUGCUUGCUCUCUCACACUCCCUUUUGCAUUAACAGGUAAAGGUAAUUACCAGCCCCUUCUACACUAUUACCGUUGUCUUUUUUCGAAACAGUAGUUCGAAGCUCGACUUUGGUUUAGACCGUCGGCCACGUUCUCGCCUCCCCCCCCCCCCCUACUUGUCAGUACCUCCCUCCUACGGGUCUAUACGAGUCAACGUCUGCCACCACUCCUGAUAGUCCGGCAGAGAGCGGCCAGCCUUCACCUGAAGACCUUGAGCGUCUAUCACUCCCUCUCUCAGCCCGAGUGAGUUGCAUGGAUUGGGCAGCCAGCGCUCUCGCCUCAACCCUUCCUUCACCCCACGCACACCCCCGGUCUAAGGUGUAUUCACGAGGGAAGUUUCAAGACAUCUAUCACUUUCCUUUGGCUGACUCUUGGACAUGCACGGGAACUGGCAUCCCAACUGGGCUUUUCUGUUACUUUCAUUUGUCCUUGGCCAGCUUUCCUCUCUUACAUAAAAAAAAAAAAAUGGCAUAUGCUGCAGUGUAUAGCGACUGUAAAUGAAGUGUUUUUUUACUA
rnacentral:misc_RNA from 1 species